GGUUCGGUGGUGUAGUUGGUUCAUCACGUCAGUCUAACAUCGAGAUGUCCUUGGCCAUCACGAGUUCACUGAAGGUCGGGAGUUCGAGCCUCCCCUGAAUCA
rnacentral:tRNA from 4 species